GACGAACGCUGGCGGCGUGCUUAACACAUGCAAGUCGAACGGAAAGGCCCUGCUUUUGUGGGGUGCUCGAGUGGCGAACGGGUGAGUAACACGUGAGUAACCUUCCCUUUACUUUGUGAUAACUUCAGGAAACUGGGGCUACUACCGGAUAGGAGCUCCUGCUGCAUGGUGGGGGUUGGAAAGUUUCGGCGGUUGGGGAUGGACUCGCGGCUUAUGAGCUUGUUGGUGAGGUAGUGGCUUACCAAGGCUUUGACGGGUAGCCGGCCUGGGAGGGGGACCGGCCACAUUGGGACUAAGGGACGGACCAGACGCCUACGGGAGACAGCGGUGGGGAAUAUUACACAAUGGGCGGAAGCCUGAUGAAGAAACGCCGCGUGCGGGAUGAAGGCCUUCGGGUUGUAAACCGCUUUAGCCUGUGACGAAGCGGGAGUGACGGUAAUGGGUAAAGAAGCACCGGCUAACUACGUG
rnacentral:rRNA from 1 species